ACACACCUCUGAUUAAACACUUGAGUGACCAAUGGCCUGCCCUGCUGAGUGCCUCCACAGGCCAAUCAGCACUUACCACCUCUCAUCAGACUCCUGCGUCGUGCCGGUGGAGGCGUCGCUCGGUGCUCAUCCGUUUGGUGGCUGGCGGAUGGUGCCCUCCUAGUGAUAAGUGUGUUUUGUCUGUUUUAGUGCGUUACGUGGUACAGUGGACACAGAGACAUGCGGGCGUGAUACUUAAAGGACAGAAGAUGCGAGGUAUACGUGACUGGCGUGAUCCCGAUGAUAUAGAACGGGCGGGACUGCCAGUGCCACCUUCCACGCUGUCCCCUAUCAUCAGCCCGCAGGUAAUAGCUAUAGUUUGUGACGCCUACAACUGUGGUGCCUCCGUGAAGGGCGUGGUUGUGGUGCUCCGUGUGCCUCAUGGAGUCCUCGCUGCUUGAUAUAACAAGGGGAAAGGAGAGAGAGGGAGAGGGAGUUCCAGAGUGUUCCCAGGUGCCGGUGCCAGAAAAGAUGCGUGGUGUUUACAAGGAAGCGCUGGGAACUUUUAGGAAGAGCACGUGAUUGGCUACUGUUUGGCGAGGGAGCUUUUUUGAUUGGUGCGUGGUAUGUACAUGUUGCAGGAGGCGUGGCAUGUGCGUCAAGUUAGAACGAAUGGAAUGCGACGUUAAUGGCGGACUUACUAUUGGUGGUGAAAGAAAACGCGUUGUG